UACGGAGGGUGCAAGCGUUAUCCGGAUUCACUGGGUUUAAAGGGUGCGUAGGCGGACAGGUAAGUCAGUGGUGAAAUCUCCGGGCUUAACUCGGAAACUGCCAUUGAUACUAUCUGUCUUGAAUACCGUGGAGGUCAGCGGAAUAUGUCAUGUAGCGGUGAAAUGCUUAGAUAUGACAUAGAACACCAAUUGCGAAGGCAGCUGGCUACACGAAUAUUGACACUGAUGCACGAAAGCGUGGGGAUCAAACAGG
rnacentral:rRNA from 1 species